rnacentral:rRNA from 1 species
GUGCCUAAUACAUGCAAGUCGAGCGAACAGACGAGGAGCUUGCUCCUCUGACGUUAGCGGCGGACGGGUGAGUAACACGUGGAUAACCUACCUAUAAGAUUGGGAUAACUUCGGGAAACCGGAGCUAAUACCGGACAAUAUAUUGAACCGCAUGGUUCAAUAGUGAAAGACGGUUUUGCUGUCACUUAUAGAUGGAUCCGCGCCGCAUUAGCUAGUUGGUAAGGUAACGGCUUACCAAGGCAACGAUGCGUAGCCGACCUGAGAGGGUGAUCGGCCACACUGGAACUGAGACACGGUCCAGACUCCUACGGGAGGCAGCAGUAGGGAAUCUUCCGCAAUGGGCGAAAGCCUGACGGAGCAACGCCGCGUGAGUGAUGAAGGUCUUCGGAUCGUAAAACUCUGUUAUUAGGGAAGAACAAAUGUGUAAGUAACUAUGCACGUCUUGACGGUACCUAAUCAGAAAGCCACGGCUAACUACGUGCCAGCAGCCGCGGUAAUACGUAGGUGGCAAGCGUUAUCCGGAAUUAUUGGGCGUAAAGCGCGCGUAGGCGGUUUUUUAAGUCUGAUGUGAAAGCCCACGGCUCAACCGUGGAGGGUCAUUGGAAACUGGAAAACUUGAGUGCAGAAGAGGAAAGUGGAAUUCCAUGUGUAGCGGUGAAAUGCGCAGAGAUAUGGAGGAACACCAGUGGCGAAGGCGACUUUCUGGUCUGUAACUGACGCUGAUGUGCGAAAGCGUGGGGAUCAAACAGGAUUAGAUACCCUGGGUAGUCCACGCCGUAAACGAUGAGUGCUAAGUGUUAGGGGGUUUCCGCCCCUUAGUGCUGUAGCUAACGCAUUAAGCACUCCGCCUGGGGAGUACGACCGCAA